rnacentral:ncRNA from 2 species
CGAUUACCAACGCGUGCCGGUGCCCGAGAGGGCUUGAAAGGGAACAUGGGUGCAAAUCCCGGGCUGUCCCUGCAACUGUAAGCGGUGAGUGUGAUGUAUGGUGCUUCCGCCAGCCGGCAGGAAGCGGCCACUGGACCAGACGCUCAAUCAUGCGGGGUCCGGGAAGGCUUUGCAUCGCGUGAUGACCCGCGAGCCAGGAGACCUGCCGGUCACGUGGUCGCUCU